UUUUUUAUGGAGAGUUUGAUCCUGGCUCAGAGUGAACGCUGGCGGCGUGCCUAAUACAUGCAAGUCGAACGAUGAAGCUU
rnacentral:rRNA from 2 species